rnacentral:rRNA from 1 species
UAGGGAAUCUUCGGCAAUGGACGGAAGUCUGACCGAGCAACGCCGCGUGAGUGAAGAAGGUUUUCGGAUCGUAAAGCUCUGUUGUAAGAGAAGAACGAGUGUGAGAGUGGAAAGUUCACACUGUGACGGUAUCUUACCAGAAAGGGACGGCUAACUACGUGCCAGCAGCCGCGGUAAUACGUAGGUCCCGAGCGUUGUCCGGAUUUAUUGGGCGUAAAGCGAGCGCAGGCGGUUAGAUAAGUCUGAAGUUAAAGGCUGUGGCUUAACCAUAGUACGCUUUGGAAACUGUUUAACUUGAGUGCAAGAGGGGAGAGUGGAAUUCCGUGUGUAGCGGUGAAAUGUGUAGAUAUAUGGAGGAACACCGGUGGCGAAAGCGGCUCUCUGGCUUGUAACUGACGCUGAGGCUCGAAAGCGUGGGGAGCAAACAGGAUUAGAUACCCUGGUAGUCCACGCCGUAAACGAUGAGUGCUAGGUGUUAGACCCUUUCCGGGGUUUAGUGCCGUAGCUAACGCAUUAAGCACUCCGCCUGGGGAGUACGACCGCAAGGUUG